rnacentral:lncRNA from 1 species
UUGGAGGAAGAAAGAAGAAAAAGAGAGAAAAAUAUCAUAAACAAAUCAAGGUAAUGUAGAUUGACCUUAAGCCUACCUCUACGGGAUGUGCAAGCUUCACUAUGAGAGAAAAAAAAUCAAACAAAUAUAAGAGAAACUCACCACCCAACUCUUAUACAAAUACUCUCAACAAAAAGCCUCAAAAUCCUCAUAAAAACUCUCUAAAAUCUUUUUUGAAGCCUCUCUACAUGAUCAAGACGUCACCACAAUAAAUGACUCG